GGAUGCGAUCAUACCAGCACUAAAGCACCGGAUCCCAUCAGAACUCCAAAGUUAAGCGUGCUUGGGCGAGAGUAGUACUAGGAUGGGUGACCUCCUGGGAAGUCCUCGUGUUGUUCUCU
rnacentral:rRNA from 1 species